GCGCGCAAAUUACCCAAUCCCGACACGGGGAGGUAGUGACAAUAAAUACUGAUACAGGGCUCUUUUGGGUCUUGUAAUUGGAAUGAGUACAAUUUAAAUCCCUUAACGAGGAACAAUUGGAGGGCAAGUCUGGUGCCAG
rnacentral:rRNA from 1 species